rnacentral:rRNA from 1 species
AACGAAUGCUGGCUGCGUGCUUAACACAUGCAAGUCGAACGGUGAAAGGGAGCUUGCUCCCUGGAUCAGUGGCGAACGGGUGAGUAACACGUGGGCAACCUGCCCCUCACUCUGGGAUAACUCCGGGAAACCGGGGCUAAUACCGGAUACGACCUGGUGCGACAUCGCACCGGGUGGAAAGAACUUCGGUGAGGGAUGGGCCCGCGGCCUAUCAGCUUGUUGGUGGGGUGACGGCCCACCAAGGCGACGACGGGUAGCCGGCCUGAGAGGGCGACCGGCCACACUGGGACUGAGACACGGCCCAGACUCCUACGGGAGGCAGCAGUGGGGAAUAUUGCGCAAUGGGCGAAAGCCUGACGCAGCGACGCAGCGUGAGGGACGAAGGCCUUCGGGUUGUAAACCUCUUUCAGCGGGGACGAAGCGAAAGUGACGGUACCCGCAGAAGAAGCACCGGCUAACUACGUGCCAGCCGCCGCAGUAAGAC